rnacentral:misc_RNA from 1 species
UCUCCGUUGGUGAACCAGCGGAGGGAUCAUUACCGAGUUUACAACUCCCAAACCCCUGUGAACAUACCACUUGUUGCCUCGGCGGUGCCAGCUUCGGCAGCCCGCCAGAGGACCCAAACCCUUGAUUUUAUACAGUAUCUUCUGAGUAAAUGAUUAAAUAAAUCAAAACUUUCAACAACGGAUCUCUUGGUUCUG